rnacentral:rRNA from 1 species
GAUGAACGCUGGCGGCGUGCCUAAUACAUGCAAGUCGAGCGAACAGACGAGGAGCUUGCUCCUCUGACGUUAGCGGCGGACGGGUGAGUAACACGUGGAUAACCUACCUAUAAGACUGGGAUAACUUCGGGAAACCGGAGCUAAUACCGGAUAAUAUAUUGAACCGCAUGGUUCAAUAGUGAAAGACGGUUUUGCUGUCACUUAUAGAUGGAUCCGCGCGGCAUUAGCUAGUUGGUAAGGUAACGGCUUACCAAGGCAACGAUGCGUAGCCGACCUGAGAGGGUGAUCGGCCACACUGGAACUGAGACACGGUCCAGACUCCUACGGGAGGCAGCAGUAGGGAAUCUUGCGCAAUGGGCGAAAGCCUGACGGAGCAACGCCGCGUGAGUGAUGAAGGUCUUCGGAUCGUAAAACUCUGUUAUUAGGGAAGAACAGAUGUGGAAGUAACUAUGCACGUCUUGACGGUACCUAAUCAGAAAGCAACGGCUAACUACGUG